rnacentral:rRNA from 1 species
GUCCACGCCCUAAACGAUGUCAACUAGGUGUUGGAAGGGUUAAACCUUUAGUGCCGUAGCUAACGCGUGAAGUUGACCGCCUGGGGAGUACGGCCGCAAGGCUAAACUCAAAGGAAUUGACGGGGACCCGCACAAGCGGUGGAUGAUGUGGAUUAAUUCGAUGCAACGCGAAACCUUACCUACCCUUGACAUGUCAGGAAUCCCGGAGAGAUUUGGGAGUGCUCGAAAGAGAACCUGAACACAGGUGCUGCAUGGCUGUCGU